CCUACGGGUGGCAGCAGUGAGGAAUAUUGGGCAAUGGGGGCAACCCUGACCCAGCCAUGCCGCGUGAGUGAAGAAGGUCUUCGGAUUGUAAAGCUCUUUCGGACGUGACGAGGAUGAGGGUAGCGUCUAAAGAAGAACCGGCAGACUUCGUGCCAGCAGCCGCGGUAAUACGAAGGGUGCGAGCGUUGUUCGGAGUUAUUGGGGUUUAAGGGUGCGUAGGCUGUGAGGUAAGUCAGCGGUGAAAUGCCCCCGCUCAACGGGGUGAAGUGCCAUUGAUACUGCCUUGCUGGAAUGCGGAUGCCGUGGGAGGAAUGUGUGGUGUAGCGGUGAAAUGCAUAGAUAUCAUACAGAACACCGAUUGCGAAGGCAGCUUACCAGGCUACUUCUGACGUUGAGGCACGAAAGCGUGGGGAGCAAACAGGAUUAGAUACCCGGGUAGUC
rnacentral:rRNA from 1 species